rnacentral:rRNA from 1 species
GACGUAGGAUGCAAGCGUUGUUCGGAAUCACUGGGCGUAAAGCGCACGUAGGCGGAUGUGUCAGUCAGGGGUGAAAUCCCGGAGCUCAACUUCGGAACUGCCUUUGAUACAGCACGUCUUGAGUCCGAUAGAGGUGGGUGGAAUUCCUAGUGUAGAGGUGAAAUUCGUAGAUAUUAGGAAGAACACCGGUGGCGAAGGCGGCCCACUGGAUCGGUACUGACGCUGAGGUGCGAAAGCGUGGGGAGCAAACAGG